AUAAAGGAUUGGAGUGCACAAAUCCACAGCAAGAUAAACCUAAAAGCUGCCCCCCUACCGAAGUUUUUAAAUGUGCUAAGUCUGAAAAGUAUGAGUGUAAUAAUGAUUCUGAGUGCCAGAAAGCCAUGAAGUGUUGCUUCUCAAAAUGUGCCUUGCGCUGUAAGGAUCCACGAUAAGGUUCACUUCCUCAGUGCCAAAAAGCAACAUCACUGUAUCUCCAUGAUGUCUCCAGAGGAUGCUGUUAAUCUGGUGAAAUGAAUCUGAA